CAUCAGUGGAGUGGUGUUACAGUGUGAGUCUGCAGGCUGGUAUCCAGAGCCUGAGCUGCUGUGGUUGGACGGUGAGGGAAACCUCUCUGCUGGACCUACAGAGACCCUCAGAGGUCCUGAUGACCUCUAUACUGUCAGCAGCAGAGUGACUGUGGAGAAGAGACACAGCAACAACAUCACCUGCAGAGUCCAACAGAGGAACACCAACCAGCGCAGAGAGACACACAUACAUGUUCCAGAUGAUUUCUUCUUGGUCAGUCCUUCUGGUCCACCCAGUCGUCCAAUCAGUAAUCCAAAUGUCACUGUUGCCUCGGCUGUCAGUGUUGCUGUUGUUCUUCUUCUAAUUGGUGCAGUUUUCUUUGCAUGGAAGUGGAGAAGAGGCAAAUUCAAAAAAAAGAAGAGUGAGGAGGAUGGAGCUGAACAGGCCAGGAAGAAAAACA